GCCCUCGUAGCUCAGCUGGUAGAGCAUGCGCGUACAAAGCGUAGGCGGCGUCCAUGCGUGGGUUCGAAUCUCACCGAGGCUA
rnacentral:tRNA from 1 species